rnacentral:rRNA from 1 species
GACGAACGCUGGCGGCGUGCCUAAUACAUGCAAGUCGAACGCAGUGGGGACGGGUGAGUAACACGUGGGUAACCUCCCAUCAGAGGGGAUAACACUUGGAAACAGGUGCUAAACCGAUACGGAUGGAGGGACCCGCGGUGCAUUAGCCAGUUGGUGGGGUAAAGGCUCCCCAAGGCCACGAUGCAUAGCCGACCUGAGAGGGUGAUCGGCCACACUGGGACUGAGACACGGCCCAGACUCCUACGGGAGGCAGCAGUAGGGAAUCUUCGGCAAUGGACGAAAGUCUGACCGAGCAACGCCGCGUGUGUGAAGAAGGGUUUCGGAUCGUAAAACUCUGUUGUUAGGGAAUCGGUAUCUAACCAGAAAGCCACGGCUAACUACGUGCCAGCAGCCGCGGUAAUAC